rnacentral:rRNA from 1 species
UAGGGAAUAUUGGACAAUGGGGGCAACCCUGAUCCAGCCAUGCCGCGUGAGUGAAGAAGGCCCUCGGGUUGUAAAGCUCUUUUGUCCGGAAAGAAAAGCAUUCGGUGAAUACCCGGAUGUUCUGACGGUACCGGAAGAAUAAGCACCGGCUAACUUCGUGCCAGCAGCCGCGGUAAUACGAAGGGUGCAAGCGUUACUCGGAAUUACUGGGCGUAAAGCGUGCGUAGGUGGUUGUUUAAGUCUGAUGUGAAAGCCCUGGGCUCAACCUGGGAAUGGCAUUGGAAACUGGGCAGCUAGAGUGCGGUAGAGGGUAGUGGAAUGCCCGGUGUAGCAGUGAAAUGCGUAGAGAUCGGGAGGAACAUCUGUGGCGAAGGCGACUGCCUGGACCAGCACUGACACUGAGGCACGAAAGCGUGGGGAGCAAACA